UGGGGUUUGUGGUAUAUGGCCAAUAUACCACGGCUAAGGGCUGUAUCCAGGCACUCCACGUUUCAUCGUGUUAAGAACAGCCUACACCACACCCCAUCAUGCAUUAUUGCUUAAGUAUAAGUCCUAAUACCCAUAUGCUAAUUACCUCUAAUGUGGCUAUCAUACAGAACUAACUACACAUCCUGCCUCAAGCUUUGACGUCAUUACCAAGGCACGUUUCUCCAUGCAAACUCAUCGACAAGUAAACUACCAUGUAGAUACAGUAUAGCCUUUUUAGUUUCUCGUGUAAAUUAUUGUAAGUGUGUAUUUCUCGUAGUCUUGUUUAGCUUUUUUAUUUUUUAUUAACUAGCUACGUUUUUAGCAGUUUUUAAAUUACUAGAUAUUUUUUAUUUUAUUAACCUCUGGCCUUUUGUAGCGAACUAGCUAACCUUAGGUCUCUCCGUCGAUCAGAAGCACGGAUGGUUCUGUGCUAUGUACCGGAUUGUAAUCACUACUCCAAUAAGCGCGCACACAUUUAUUUUAUUGUUUUCUGACCUCGAGAGACGUCGCUGGAGCAGUGUGUUAAGUCCAACAGGAGUGCAUCCCUCAGACCAUGCGGUGCAUGGACAUCCUGUGCCAGUGGUAUGACAUCCUGUGCCAGUGGUAUGACAUCCUGUGCCAGUGUGAUCCGAGCACAACCGUCCAGUUGUAGACUACAGCAGAUCGAGCCUGUGGACAGAGAGUCCAACAGGAGUGCAUCCUUCAGACCAUCCGGUGCAUGGAAAUCCUGCGCCAGUGUGAUCCAAGCAUGAGCGUCCAGUUGUGGAGGCUACCAGUAGUGGAAAAAGUACUCAAUUGUCAUACUUGAGUAAAAGAAUGUAGUGAAGUAAAAGAUACCCCAAAAAACUAAAGUACUUUACACCACUGGAGACAGACAGGUCAGUAACUCAUCAAAUAUGAUACAAUAGUUUAAAACAUUGAAUUUGUAGAUGCAUUGAAAUUGUCAUUUUAUGUCCCCUUUUCCCCAUGUUUUAGAUGAGGCGUGACAUGCGAAACAUCAGUCUCACCCCACGAGAAGCAGUGCAUGAUCAACGUCAUCCUCAGCAAGGAGACCUGCUGGAAGUGAUGUACUCUCACACUGGGGGUACAGGUAGAUGACUGGGGCUUUCAGCAAGUAAGACACAAGGGAAAACGGGUACCGACAGGAGGAGCAAUACGAGUCUGUCAGAGGUCGUCAUGCUGGAUAGUGAUGGAAGCUUGGUGGUCCACAACACAGAAUCAGGUGUUCCUUCGUGAUGUGGCCCUGACCUUGGACCUGGUUCCAGUAAGGAUGGUCUUCACGGAGGCUGAAAGACCCUCCCUCCUUGAUAUAGAAAUCCUUUGACUUCAAUGAUAACACCCCAUCCAAUGAGUCUGAUCCCCCGACAGCACCAUGCUAGCCUGGUUGCCUGCAUGCCCCAGGUGCCCUUGUUUUUGAACAAUGUCUGGUACAGGGAGGGUUGCUGUUGUUCUAGCUCAGGUUCAAGGAGAAUGCCAUUCCACUGAACCUUCCCCGGGGACGGUUCCUUAGCCACUGAAGAUCCUUCUCUGUGGGCUCUCGGGACAGAGGGUUGUAGUCUUUGGCCAGGUACAGGUCCUCCACUGACUACACCUGGUUGGGCAUGGCUGGCCUCCUCACAUUCCACAUCUGUGCAACCGAUACUGUGAACCCCCAAAAUAGGCUGCAUUCCUACACUUAUGAGCUCCACGGAGGCAUUUGCAUGUAGGAGGGAAUUACCUGGUCACUUAGAGAGACCUGACCUGAUGUUAAGUGCCACAUGCCUUUCAAUGUUUGACUUUGAACACCCUGAAAUGCAUUUGUUGUAAGAAAGUGCUAUAUAAGUUUGACAUUAACUGUAGAAUAUUUAAACUGCUAUUUUCAUAAGGACAAGUGCAGUUAUUCCAUAAACUUUUAAUUCAUAAUUUGGGAUUUUAUCACUUGACAUCAGUCAGAGUGCAAAGUAUCCUAUAAUCAAGACUGAAUACAUGUACCACUCUGAAUAAAUAAAUACUUUGUUUCUCUGGUCAUGAAACUAAAAUACAAGAGAAUGUCUAAACAAAGUCAAUUCUGAAUGUCAAUAGAUUAAGAUUAAUUCUCAAUGACAACAUUCUAUACUGAACAAAAAUAAAUGCAACAUAAGGU